rnacentral:rRNA from 1 species
GAUGAACGCUGGCGGCGUGCUUAACACAUGCAAGUCGAACGAAGCAUUUGCGACAGAUUUUUUCGGAAUGAAGUUGCUUAUGACUGAGUGGCGGACGGGUGAGUAACGCGUGGGUAACCUGCCUUGUACUGGGGGAUAGCAGCUGGAAACGGCUGGUAAUACCGCAUAAGCGCACAAUGUUGCAUGACAUGGUGUGAAAAACUCCGGUGGUAUAAGAUGGACCCGCGUCUGAUUAGCUAGUUGGUGAGAUAACAGCCCACCAAGGCGACGAUCAGUAGCCGACCUGAGAGGGUGACCGGCCACAUUGGGACUGAGACACGGCCCAGACUCCUACGGGAGGCAGCAGUGGGGAAUAUUGCACAAUGGAGGAAACUCUGAUGCAGCGACGCCGCGUGAGUGAACAAGUAAUUCGUUAUGUAAAGCUCUAUCAGCAGGGAAGAUAGUGACGGUACCUGACUAAGAAGCUCCGGCUAAAUACGUG